GACGAAGCGUGCGAACGUUGUUCGGAAUCACUGGGCUUAAAGGGCGCGUAGGUGGUUUGCCAAGUCGGGGUUGAAAUCUUUCGGCUUAACCGGAAAAGUGGCUUCGAUACUGGCAAGCUGGAGGGAGGUAGGGGCGGAUGGAACUUCCGGUGGAGCGGUGAAAUGUGUUGAUAUCGGAAGGAACGCCGGUGGCGAAAGCGAUCCGCUGGACCUCUUCUGACACUGAGGCGCGAAAGCCAGGGGAGCAAACGGG
rnacentral:rRNA from 1 species